UAAGGUGUGGUAGAUGAGGGAGACAUACAAAAUGUGCAGUUCUGGGGGUUCUCCAGGACAGGUUUGAGGACCACUGAGAUAGAAAACGGUUCAAUGGCAAUAACAUGUUAUCAGUUUAAAAUGUGCAGUAGGUGGCGGUAUAUGGCACUUUCACGUGUUCGUAUCUACCAGAGGAAGAAGAAAAGGCGCAAAGUCAGCGUUCACUGGCGCCUGGUUGACACACGUGCAGAAACCGCGAAGGAAGAGGAUCAUUGUCAGCAGAAGAACACAUGAAAGUAAAAGAAGAGGAAUCGUGCCCUUGGUAGUUUUGUAUUGAAGAUCAGUGGUGGCUCGUCCGGUGAAGGUGAAAAUGGGAGGAGGACUAUUUAAUGUUAAUAAAAUUCACAAUUCAUUUCA